AACGAACGCUGGCGGCAUGCCUAACACAUGCAAGUCGAACGAGACCUUCGGGUCUUGUGGCGCACGGGUGCGUAACGCGUGGGAACCUGCCCUUAGGUUCGGAAUAACUCCCCGAAAGGGGUGCUAAUACAGGAUAAUGUCUUCGGACCAAAGAUUUAUCGCCUUUGGAUGGGCGCGCGUUGGAUUAGCUAGUUGGUAGGGUAAAAGCCUGCCAAGGCGACGUUCCAUAGCUGGUCUGUGAGGAUGAUCAGCCACGAUGGGACUGCGACACGGCCCAGACUGCUACGGGAGGGAGCAGUGGGGAAUAUUGGACAAGGGGCGAAAGCCUGAUCCAGCAAUGCCGGGUAAGUGAGGAAGGCCUUAGGGUUGUAAAGCCCUUUUACCCGGGAUGAUAAUGACAGUACCGGGAGAAUAAGCACCGGCUAACUCCGUG
rnacentral:rRNA from 1 species